AAAGUGAAUAAUUUUCUCACCUUUUUUGAACAAAUUUAUUCAUAUCCACUUAUGAAAACUCACUCCACAAUCCUUUGUUAGCUUGUUGCUGCAUCCAAACGCUGUACAAAACGGCAUUUUCAGAUCAUUUUAACCCAAGUUUAAAUCAGCACAUAAUCUAUUUCUAUUUAAUCUAAUGCCUGAUGACACGUAAUAACGCUAAGCAAGAUGGCGGCUGCCUGGCAACGGCCCACAAGCUGCAUCUGCCACCUAGAGGAUUAAAUACAAAUCCAUGAUCUACACCCAUCUUAACCUUAGACCUGCACUCCUCCUCCAAGUUUAAUGCAAAUCAGUUUGUACUUUUUUUUUUUGUAAUCUUGUUGGUGGUAAUAAUUAAUCAGAGUGUCUGACCACAUUUGUGACAGACAGUAUUUCAGAUUUGAUUUAUUUUAUGGUAAUGGCAGUUUGAUUUUGGGUUUUUUUUGUUUUUUGGGGGGAAGUUGACACUGUCAUGAGCCUGUAGGUAUGGUAUGGUAUUUUUCUGGAUUCAUUUAUGGGUUGUUUUCUUUUCAUCAUUACCCUCCUUCUCUCUGCACCCCCACCCCCAACACCCCCACCCCACUGUAAAAAGUCCUUUUUUUAAUUUCUGGUGAGAUAAUCAGUUUUGUUCAACUUCAGUGUUCUUCUUUUGAAAUUUUUGACUUUUAAAUGGUUGACCAUUUUUUUGUUCUUCAGCAUUUUGAUUUUGGGUCUCAGGAGAGGAACCUCUUCAAGUACCACCUGACGGCCCUGACAAGAAGACACCAUGUAAGCUGAAUACGCUAAUGAAAAAGGACUUUGACUGUGAACCGAUUGCUCAUUGCAUUGAGGUCACCGUUGCCUGUUUGUGAUCAACAUAUGUCCAUGUCUCAGUGUUUGUGUGUCACACUGUAUGUGUUCAACUGUUUUUGGAGUCUACAUAAAAAAAAGCUUGUAGUCAAAUUGGAAUCAAAGCAAAGUUAGGAGGAGACAGAAAAAGAGCAAACACUCAGUCAAGGCGUCUCACAGCUGACAAACCUUUCUCUGCACAGUUUGCAGACUGUAAAUUACAUCAAUUCCCAUCUGAACUGUGUGAGCCGUCAGAGUUUUUGGUGUUGUUAUUUUUUUACUCUGUCAACUGCUGUAUAAUCACUUUAUCUUUGUGCUGGAAUAAUUUGUCGGUCUAUUUCAUUAGCUAUUUUGAUGAUCUCAUCUUUGAUUUGCAGCAUUUUGUCAGAUUGAAUAGUAAUAAUAAUAAUCAUGAUCACCAUAAAAUGUAAUGAAAAUAAUUUUAACCUGUUUGUAAUCAUUUUGCUUUCUGUUGUUGUGUCAUAUAACCAGUUAUUAUUGAGUUGGAGUGAAUUUUGUGAUUUUGUGAUUUUUGUGACAUCUUUGAUUUGCAGCAUUUUGUCAGAUUGAAUAGUGAUAAUAAUAAUCAUGAUCAUAUAAAAUGUAAUGAAAAUAAUUUUAACCUGUUUGUAAUCAUUUUGCUUUCUGUUGUGUCGUAUAACCAGUUAUUGAGUUGGAGUGAAUUUUGUGACAUCUUUGAUUUGCAGCAUUUUGUCAGAUUGAAUAGUAAUAAUAAUAAUCAUGAUCAUCACAAAAUGUAAUGAAAAUAAUUUUAACCUGUUUGUAAUCAUUUUGCUUUCUGUUGUUGUGUCAUAUAACCAGUUAUUGAGUUGGAGUGAAUUUUGUGAUAAAUUUCCUUUGAGGUGAAUAAAGCUUUAUAUAAUCUUAAAGUGAACUUUGUGUGUGUGUGUGUGUGUGUGUGUGUGCGCGCAAAAUAACUGAGAAACUACUGAGCAGAUUUUAACCAAAUGUGGAAGGAACAUUCUUUGGUUGAGGGUCUGCAAAUCAUUAAAUUUGGGGACAGAGCAGUCAAAGGUCAUCAAAAAUAUUGUCAGAAAAACGCACUUUCCAGAAAUUCUGAUGGGUUUCUCAUGACUCAGACAAAGCCCCUAAAAAAGAAAGAAAGAAAAAAUAAAUAAAUUUAAAAAAUCAUGAUGUGUCUGAUCUCAGGCUGAACUUACAUUUAUGUUAAGGAAUAAAGUGUUUUUCCAGUAAUAAUGUUUUUUUUAUGCCUUGUUCAUGUUAUAAAGUUUAUCUUGGUUUCAUGUGAAGAGCUGAGCAAGUUAUUCAUCGUUUACUUGCUGUAAACAAGUCUGACACUGAUAGACAACACAAACUUAUUAACACCAAACCAUUAAACUAUUAAAAAAACAAUAAACAGAUGUCUAUGAAGCAGGUAAAGAUAAAGUCUAUCAUCCUCACAAGUCUAUCAAAUAUUUUAUUUUCUUCUCUCUCAAAAAAUGACAAAAACAAAUCAAAGUUCACCAAAGUGUAAAUAGGUACACGAUUCGAGUCUGUACAUGUCUGAAAGAUUCUUUGAACAGACCUAUAAAUAACAGACUCCUGGGUGGAGCUUAAAAUAUUUCCUGUGCAUUUCAUCGCCACCCCACCAAAAAAAAAAAAAAAAAAAAAAAAAA